UUUUUUUGGUGUACAAACUCCAAAAGGUCUGAAAGGUGUUCCUAAAAAGGUUUUGGACAGUGAUUUUAACCCUAAUGCCAAAAACCUCAAACCUUACCCUAGCCCCAAAACCUAAUACCCGGGUAUUACCUUCAGGAAGCCCGAACACCCCAAAUAUUUUUUUUUUUUUUUCUUUUUUUUUUUUGGUCAACCUAACUCCAAAAGGUUGGAAAAGAGUUCCUACAAAGGUUUUUGGACAGUGAUUUUAACCCUAACGCCAAAAACCUUAAACAUUUCCUAAGCCCCAUAACCUAAUACCCGGGUAUUACCUUCAGGAAGCCCGAACACCCCAAAUAUUUUUUUUUCAUUUUUCUUUUUUUUUUGGUCUAACGAACUCCAUAAGGUUGGAAAAGAGUUCCUACAAAGGUUUUGGACAGUGAUUUUCACCCUAACGUCAAAAACCUUAAACCUUACCAUAGCCCAAUAACCUAAUACCCGGGUAUUACCUUCAGGAAGCCCGAACACCCCAAAUAUUUUUUUUUUCAUUUUACAUUUUUUUUGUAUGUAACCAACUCCAAAAGGUCUGAAACAUGUUCCUAAAAAGGUUUUGGACAGUGAUUUUAACCCUAACGCCAAAAACCUCAAACCUUACCCUAGCCCCAAAACCUAAUAUUAGGGUAUUACCUCCAGGAAGCCUGAAAACCCCAAAUAUUUUUUUUUCAUUUCUCUUUUUUUUUGGGUCUAACUGACUCCAAAAGUUUAGAAACAGUUCCUACAAAGGUUUUGGACAGUGAUUUUAACCCUAACGCCAAAAACCUUAAACCUUACCAUAGCCCCAUAACCUGAUACCCGGGUAUUACCUUCAGGAAGCCCGAACACCCCAAAUAUUUUUUUUUAUUUUACUUUUUUUUUUCGGUGUACAAACUCCAAAAGGUCUGAAACGUGUUCCUAAAAAGGUUUUGGACAGUGAUUUUAACCCUAAUGCCAAAAACCUCAAACCUUACCCUAGCCCCAAAACCUAAUACCCGGGUAUUACCUUCAGGAAGCCCGAACACCCCAAAUAUUUUUUUUUCUUUUUUCUUUUUUUUUUUGGUCAACCUAACUCCAAAAGGUUGGAAAAGAGUUCCUACAAAGGUUUUUGGACAGUGAUUUUAACCCUAACGCCAAAAACCUUAAACAUUUCCUAAGCCCCAUAACGUGUUCCUAAAAAGGUUUUGGACAGUGAUUUUAACCCUAAUGCCAAAAACCUCAAACCUUACCCUAGCCCCAAAACCUAAUACCCGGGUAUUACCUUCAGGAAGCCCGAACACCCCAAAUAUUUUUUUUUCUUUUUUCUUUUUACAUUUUUUUUUUGGUGUACAAACUCCAAAAGGUCUGAAAGGUGUUCCUACAAAGGUUUUGGACAGUGAUUUUAACCCUAACGCCAAAAACCUUAAACCUUACCAUAGCCCCAUAACCUGAUACCCGGGUAUUACCUUCAGGAAGCCCGAACACCCCAAAUAUUUUUUUUUAAUUUUACAUUUUUUUUUCGGUGUACAAACUCCAAAAGGUCUGAAACGUGUUCCUACAAAGGUUUUGGACAGUGAUUUUAACCCUAACGCCAAAAACCUUAAACCUUACCAUAGCCCCAUAACCUGAUACCCGGGUAUUACCUUCAGGAAGCCCGAACACCCCAAAUACAUUUUUUUUCUUUUUUCUUUUUUUUUUUGGUCAACCUAACUCCAAAAGGUUGGAAAAGAGUUCCUACAAAGGUUUUUGGACAGUGAUUUUAACCCUAACGCCAAAAACCUUAAACAUUUCAGGAAGCCUGAACACCCCAAAUUUUUUUUUUUCAUUUUUCUUUUUUUUUUGGUCUAACGAACUCCAUAAGGUUGGAAAAGAGUUCCUACAAAGGUUUUGGAAAGUUAUGUUCACCCUAACGUAAAAAACCUUAAACCUUACCAUAGCCCCAUAACCUGAUACCCGGGUAUUACCUUCAGGAAGCCCGAACACCCCAAAUUUUUUUUUUUUCAUUUUACAUUUUUUUUUUGGUGUACAAACUCCAAAAGGUCUGAAACGUGUUCCUAAAAAGGUUUUGGACAGUGAUUUUAACCCUAAUGCCAAAAACCUCAAACCUUACCCUAGCCCCAAAACCUAAUACCCGGGUAUUACCUUCAGGAAGCCCGAACACCCCAAAUAUUUUUUUUUCUUUUUUCUUUUUUUUUUUGGUCAACCUAACUCCAAAAGGUUGGAAAAGAGUUCCUACAAAGGUUUUUGGACAGUGAUUUUAACCCUAACGCCAAAAACCUUAAACAUUUCCUAAGCCCCAUAACCUAAUACCCGGGUAUUACCUUCAGGAAGCCCGAACACCCGAAAUAUUUUUUUUUCAUUUUUCUUUUUUUUUUUGGUCUAACGAACUCCAUAAGGUUGGAAAAGAGUUCCUACAAAGGUUUUGGAAAGUUAUGUUCACCCUAACGUCAAAAACCUUAAACCUUACCAUAGCCCCAUAACCUAAUACCCGGGUAUUACCUUCAGGAAGCCCGAACACCCCAAAUAUUUUUUUUUCAUUUUACAUUUUUUUUUUGUAUAACCAACUCCAAAAGGUCUGAAACAUGUUCCUAAAAAGGUUUUGGACAGUGAUUUUAACCCUAACGCCAAAAACCUCAAACCUUACCCUAGCCCCAAAACCUAAUACCCGGGUAUUACCUCCAGGAAGCCUGAAAACCCCAAAUAUUUUUUAUUCAUUUCUCUUUUUUUUUGGGUCUAACUGACUCCAAAAGUUUAGAAACAGUUCCUACAAAGGUUUUGGACAGUGAUUUUAACCGUAACGCCAAAAACCUUAAACCUUACCAUAGCCCCAUAACCUGAUACCCGGGUAUUACCUUCAGGAAGCCCGAACACCCCAAAUAUUUUUUUUUAAUUUUACAUUUUUUUUUCGGUGUACAAACUCCAAAAGGUCUGAAACGUGUUCCUAAAAAGGUUUUGGACAGUGAUUUUAACCCUAAUGCCAAAAACCUCAAACCUUACCCUAGCCCCAAAACCUAAUACCCGGGUAUUACCUUCAGGAAGCCCGAACACCCCAAAUAUUUUUUUUUCUUUUUUCUUUUUACAUUUUUUUUUUGGUGUACAAACUCCAAAAGGUCUGAAAGGUGUUCCUAAAAAGGUUUUGGACAGUGAUUUUAACCCUAAUGCCAAAAACCUCAAACCUUACCCUAGCACCAAAACCUAAUACCCGGGUAUUACCUUCAGGAAGCCCGAACACCCCAAAUAUUUUUUUUUCUUUUUUCUUUUUUUUUUUUGGUCAACCUAACUCCAAAAGGUUGGAAAAGAGUUCCUACAAAGGUUUUUGGACAGUGAUUUUAACCCUAACGCCAAAAACCUUAAACAUUUCCUAAGCCCCAUAACCUAAUACCCGGGUAUUACCUUCAGGAAGCCCGAACACCCCAAAUAUUUUUUUUUCAUUUUUCUUUUUUUUUUGGUCUAACGAACUCCAUAAGGUUGGAAAAGAGUUCCUACAAAGGUUUUGGAAAGUUAUUUUCACCCUAACGUCAAAAACCUUAAACCUUACCAUAGCCCCAUAACCUAAUACCCGGGUAUUACCUUCAGGAAGCCCGAACACCCCAAAUAUUUUUUUUUUCAUUUUACAUUUUUUUUGUAUGUAACCAACUCCAAAAGGUCUGAAACAUGUUCCUAAAAAGGUUUUGGACAGUGAUUUUAACCCUAACGCCAAAAACCUCAAACCUUACCCUAGCCCCAAAACCUAAUAUUAGGGUAUUACCUCCAGGAAGCCUGGAAACCCCAAAUAUUUUUUUUUCAUUUCUCUUUUUUUUUUGGGUCUAACUGACUCCAAAAGUUUAGAAACAGUUCCUACAAAGGUUUUGGACAGUGAUUUUAACCGUAACGCCAAAAACCUUAAACCUUACCAUAGCCCCAUAACCUGAUACCCGGGUAUUACCUUCAGGAAGCCCGAACACCCCAAAUAUUUUUUUUUAAUUUUUACAUUUUUUUUUCGGUGUACAAACUCCAAAAGGUCUGAAACGUGUUCCUAAAAAGGUUUUGGACAGUGAUUUUAACCCUAAUGCCAAAAACCUCAAACCUUACCCUAGCCCCAAAACGUAAUACCCGGGUAUUACCUUCAGGAAGCCCGAACACCCCAAAUAUUUUUUAUUCCUUUUUCCUUUUUUUUUUGGUCUAACUAACUCCAAAAGGUCUGAAACGUGUUCCUAAAAAGGUUUUGGACAGUGAUUUUAACCCUAAUGCCAAAAACCUCAAACCUUACCCUAGCCCCAAAACCUAAUACCCGGGUAUUACCUUCAGGAAGCCCGAACACCCCAAAUAUUUUUUAUUCCUUUUUUCUUUUUUUUUUUGGUCAACCUAACUCCAAAAGGUUGGAAAAGAGUUCCUACAAAGGUUUUUGGACAGUGAUUUUAACCCUAACGCCAAAAACCUUAAACAUUUCCUAAGCCCCAAAACCUAAUACCCGGUAAAAUGGUUAAAAUCACUGGUAUGGUAUUACCUUCAGGAAGCCUGAACACCCCAAAUAUUUUUUAUUUCAUUUUUCAUUUUUUUUUGGUCUAACUGACUCCGUGUUUGGAAAAGAGUUCCUACAAAGGUUUUGGACAGUGAUUUUAACCCUAACGCCAAAAACCUUAAACCUUACCAUAGCCCCAUAACCUGAUACCCGGGUAUUACCUUCAGGAAGCCCGAACACCACAAAUAUUUUUUUUUCAUUUUACAUUUUUUUUUUGGUGUACAAACUCCAAAAGGUCUGAAAGGUGUUCCUAAAAAGGUUUUGGACAGUGAUUUUAACCCUAAUGCCAAAAACCUCAAACCUUACCCUAGCACCAAAACCUAAUACCCGGGUAUUACCUUCAGGAAGCCCGAACACCCCAAAUAUUUUUUUUUCUUUUUUUUUUUUUUUUUUGGUCAACCUAACUCCAAAAGGUUGGAAAAGAGUUCCUACAAAGGUUUUUGGACAGUGAUUUUAACCCUAACGCCAAAAACCUUAAACAUUUCCUAAGCCCCAUAACCUAAUACCCGGGUAUUACCUUCAGGAAGCCCGAACACCCCAAAUAUUUUUUUUUCAUUUUUCUUUUUUUUUUGGUCUAACUAACUCCAAAAGGUUGGAAAAGAGUUCCUACAAAGGUUUUGGACAGUGAUAUUAACCCUAACGCCAAAAGCCUUAAACCUUCCCCUAGCCCCAUAAUCUAAUACCUGGGUAUUACCUUCAGGAAGCCCGAACCCCCCAAAUAUUUUUUUUUCACUUUUCAUUUAUUUUUGGUGUAACUAACUCCAAAAGGUCUGAAACUUGUUCCCACAAAGGUUUUGGACAGUGAUUUUUACCCUAAUGCCAAAAACCUUAGACCUUACCAUAGCCCCAUAACCUAAUACCUGGGUAUUACCUUCAGGAAGCCCGAACACCCCAAAUAUAUAUUUUUUCAUUUUACUUUUUUUUUUGGUGUAACAAACUCCAAAAGUUCUGAAACAUGUUCCUAAAAAGGUUUUGGACAGUGAUUUUAACCCUAACGCCAAAACCUUAAACCUUCCCCUAGCCCCAUAACCUAAUAACCUGGGUAUUACCUUCAGGAAGCCCGAAAACCCCAAAUAUUUUUUUAUUCAUUUUUUUGGUCUAAAUAACUCCAAAAGCUUGGAAAAGAGUUCCUACAAAGGUUUUGGACAGUGAUUUUAACCCUAACGCCAAAAGCCUUAAACCUUCCCCUCGCCCCAUAACCUAAUAUCUGGGUAUUACCUUCAGGAAGCCCGAACACCCCAAAUAUUUUUUUUUCACUUUUCAUUUCUUUUUGGUGUAACUAACUCCCAAAGGUCUGAAACUUAUUCCAACAAAGGUUUUGGACAGUGAUUUUAACCCUAAUGCCAAAAACCUUAGACCUUACCAUAGCCCCAUAACCUAAUACCUGGGUAUUUCCUUCAGGAAGCCCGAACACCCCAAAUAUAUUUUUUUUCAUUUUACAUUUUUUUUUUGGUGUAACAAACUCCAAAAGUUCUGAAACAUGUUCCUAAAAAGGUUUUGGACAGUGAUUUUAACCCUAACGCCAAAAACCUUAAACCUGACCAUAGCCCCGUAACCUAAUACCCGGGUAUUACCUUCAGGAAGCCUUCAAACCCCAAACAUUUUUUUUUUCAUUUUUCGUUUUUUUUUUUGGUCUAGCUAACUCCAAAAGGUUGGAAAAGAGUUCCUACAAAGGUUUUGGACAGUGAUUUUAACCCUAACGCCAAAAACCACGUCUGUACGCUUUGUCAUAUUGAUACAAAAAUUGACACACACGUGUAUCUUAAUAAGGUCUACGAAAAAGUCAGUGCAGGCGCUUUUGUGAAAAGUACGGUUAAAGGGCUAUUUCGCAUUUUUUGCCGGUCCGCACACAUUGGAAUGUGGCUAACUCCUCUGAAG